CUCGCUGUUUCUGAUUGGCUGCGAAGUCGCUGAUCAACAGAUGUCCUGUCACUGACUAGAGAUUUAAAAGGUAGGAAUGACGAGCUGAGUCGGACCAGACUACCUGUUUCUUUGAUUCUAAUAUCAUCAGAAGAAAUUGAAGCCUAUUGUUUCCUAUAGAAGCGACAAUGUACAAGUUCCUCAUUGUCACUCUGCUCCUUGUCUGCCUGUGUGUGACGGAGGUGUCGUCUGCUAUUUAUGAAGGUCAAUGCCCACAGCAACCAGUUCGAUUUGAAACACCCGAACAAUUGCGUCAGUACCUGGAAAAUCUACAAUACUGCUUGAUGCUAGCUACCCGACCAAGGUACCGGCGAGACAUCGACUUAUAAAUGAUCCGCCAUGCUUACGAGGGCGGAAACUGCAGAUUCCCCCAUCUCUUUCGAAAUUCGGCCAUAGCUUCAUAAUCCCUUGGCACUGUCAUGGAGGCACCACCAUGUAGGUCUUCGUCUCACGGGAGUCUGCACUAGUGCCAUUCAAACAUUUGUCUCAAUAUUGUCUCGCGUUGUCAUCUGUCGCUGCAAUAAAAGACUGAUUUGAGCUA